rnacentral:lncRNA from 1 species
CAUCUGGUAAUCUUGAAUAUUGCCAAAUCAACAAAAAAACCGCGACAUACUUAUUGAAUUCAUCAAAAUAAGACAAGAAGAAACCCAAGGAUGAGUAAUCAAUCUAAGACAUUUGGAGAUCAGGGAAUCCCAAGUGCAGGCAGCUUUUUCUCACAGAUAACUCCUUCAAGAUAAAAUAUGGACAGCCGUUAUCUAGUUUACUGCUGUAUUUAUAAACUACAAACACCAUCAUUUCUUCAGUAACCAAAUAACUGCUAAACGUGAAGUUUCCUUCAGUGAAUACCUGAAUACUUAAAUUGUAACCAGAUAUGUCCGGCCCAGGAGACAAGAGAGAACAAAAACCCUACCGCCCUCCCCCAUACGAGAGGCCUUAUGGACCUCCCGAUAACCCCAAGGAUCGUCCAAGAGCUUAAACUUACAUCUCCAAUAUUAUCCAGCUUCAUAGUUUACACAUAUUAGUUUAUGUAGUAAUAUUUUAUGCUAAGUUAGUAAUUUCGGAGGUCCACGCCAUUCCCGUACAAGGAAUUAUGUUGUGUGGAGCCGAAGUAACUUUAAGUGAAAACUGCGGUACUGAGAUUGUACGUUCCCUGUCUUCAUAAAUCAGCACCUUAUUCGGCAGGGGAUGAUGUCAUACAAUAUGUGGAGAAGAGCUGGCCAUAAGCAAAUGGUGUGCAUUGGGCAGCGAUAAUUGAUUCGACUGAUUAAUUAACUACAUGAAAUUUCAAGUCAUAGACCAUCUGAUAGAAUAUGCUGGUCUUUUCUAGAAAGGCUUACUCUGUUGCACCGAAAUUAGUCAACUGUUUCACCCAUCUAUCAAUGUUGGAAAAACCACAUCAUGGCAUGAUUUUUUGGGAAAUACUGAAGAGAUAAACUCAAGAUGAGAGUGUAUUGUUGUGAUCAGUUCAUAUUGAUUGUUCAUUUAUCAAUCACAAUAUAGAUACUGGUGAAUUGAUAAUGUCACGUUUGUUCCAAUAUCAUUAUCCAAUUUAUUUGUAAGUAGGUAUACUGAAGUAUGUUCAGAAUGAUUGCUUUUGAGAUGUUUUGAUGUUUGAUUUUUAAUUUUAUUUGUAGAAUCUCUAAUAAAUUGUAUUAUUUAUUAAACAAUAAAAACUGUAUCAUUUCAAA